rnacentral:rRNA from 1 species
UACGUAGGGACCAAGCGUUGUUCGGAUUUACUGGGCGUAAAGGGCGCGUAGGCGGCGUGUCAAGUCAAUUGUGAAAUCUCUGAGCUUAACUCAGAACGGUCAAUUGAUACUGAUGUGCUAGAGUGCAGAAGGGGCAAUCGGAAUUCUUGGUGUAGCGGUGAAAUGCGUAGAUAUCAAGAGGAACACCUGAGGUGAAGACGGGUUGCUGGGCUGACACUGACGCUGAGGCACGACAGCGUGGGGAGCAAACAGG